UACGUAGGUCCCGAACGUUGCGCGAAUUUACUGGGCGUAAAGGGUCCGUAGGCGGUUUAGCAAGUGGUUGGUGAAAUUUCACGGCUCAACCGUGAAACUGCCUUCCAAACUGCUAAACUUGAGGCAGGGAGAGGUCGGCGGAAUUCCCGGUGUAGCGGUUAAAUGCGUAGGUAUCCGGAGGAAACCCAGUGGCGAGGGCGGCCGACUGGAACUGUCCUGACGCUGAGGGACGAAAGCUAGGGGAGCAAACCGG
rnacentral:rRNA from 1 species